AUAUUGGCCAGAGACCGAUAGCGCACAAGUAGAGUGAUCGAAAGAUGAAAAGCACUUUGAAAAGAGAGUUAAAAAGUACGUGAAAUUGUUGAAAGGGAAGCGUUUAUGACCAGACUUGGACUUGGUUAAUCAUCUGGGGUUCUCCCCAGUGCACUUUUCCAGUUCAGGCCAGCAUCAGUUUUCGCCGGGGGAUAAAGGCUUCGGGAAUGUAGCUCUCUUCGGGGAGUGUUAUAGCCCGUUGUGUAAUACCCUGGUGGAGACUGAGGUUCGCGCUUCUGCAAGGAUGCUGGCGUAAUGGUCAUCAACGACCCGUCUUGAAACACGGACC
rnacentral:rRNA from 1 species